rnacentral:rRNA from 1 species
AAUGAACGCUGGCGGCGUGGAUAAGACAUGCAAGUCGAACGGAAAUAUGAUUAGUUUACUAAGAUUAUUUUAGUGGCGGACGGGUUAGUAACACGUGAGCAACUUACCUCAAAGUGGGGGAUAGCCUUCCGAAAGGGAGAUUAAUACCGCAUGUGACCUCCGGGUCAAAGAGUGCUAAUUUAUUAGCACUCGCUUUGAGAUAGGCUCGCGUCCUAUCAGUUAGUUGGUGAGGUAAUGGCUCACCAAGACUACGACGGGUAGCUGUUCUGAGAGGAAGAUCAGCAACACUGGAACUGAGACACGGUCCAGACACCUACGGGUGGCAGCAGUCGAGAAUCAUUCACAAUGGACGCAAGUCUGAUGGUGCAACGCCGCGUGGAGGAUGAAGGCCCUAGGGUCGUAAACUCCUGUCAUAGCAGAGUAAGGCAUAUUAGUUAAUAGCUGGUAUGUUUGAUAGUAUGCUAAGAGGAAGGGACGGCUAACUUCGUGCCAGCAGCCGCGGUAAUACGAAGGUCCCGAGCGUUAUUCGGAAUCACUGGGCGUAAAGGGAGCGUAGGCGGCGCGGUAAGUCAGAUGUGAAAUCUGGGGGCUCAACCUCCAAACUGCAUUCGAUACUGCCGUGCUAGAGUAAUGGAGAGGUAACUGGAAUUCUCAGUGUAGCAGUGAAAUGCGUAGAUAUUGAGAGGAAGACCAAUGGCGAAAGCAGGUUACUGGACAUUUACUGACGCUG